CCUGUGUGUAUUUCUGCGGUGCCCGUACCGCAAACCGACACAGGUAGGUAGGAAGAAGAUUCUAAGGCCAACGGGAGAAGGGUUGUUAAGGAACUCGGCAAAUUGACCCCGUAACUUCGGGAGAAGGGGUGCUCCAGAGAUGGAGCCGCAGAGAAUCGGCCCAAGCAACUGUUUACCAAAAGCACAGGUUUGUGCUAAAUCGAAAGAUGACGUAUACGAGCUGACGCCUGCCCGGUGCUGGAAGGUUAAGAGGAGAUGUGCAAGCAUUGAAUCGAAGCCCCAGUGAACGGCGGCCGUAACAAUAACGGUCCUAAGGUAGCGAAAUUCCUUGUCAGGUAAGUUCUGACCCGCAUGAAAGGCGUAAUGAUUUGGGCACUGUCUCGACAGCCCGCCCGGCGAAAUUGUAGUACCGGUGAAGAUGCCGGUUACCCGCGACAAGACGGAAAGACCCCAUGGAGCUUUACUGUAGCCUAAUAUUGGGCUUCGAUGUUGCAUGCACAGGAUAGAUGGGACACUGGGAAGCAAGUGCUUUGGCAUUUGUGGAGUGGCCGUUGGGAUACCAACCUUGCGAUAUUGGAAUUCUAACCUGCGCCUUUGAAUCAAGGCGGGGGACAUUGUUAGGUGGGCAGUUUGACUGGGGCGGUCGCCUCCUAAAGAGUAACGGAGGCGUUCAAAGGUUCGCUCAGCUUGAACGGAAAUCAAGCAAAAGAGUGCAAACGCAGAAGCGAGCCUAACUGCGAGACUGACGGGUCGAGCAGUAACGAAAGUUGGAGUUAGUGAUCCGGUGGUAUGUGAGUGGAAAUGCCAUCGCUCAACGGAUAAAAGUUACCCUGGGGAUAACAGGCUGAUCUCCCCCAAGAGUCCACAUCGACGGGGAGGUUUGGCACCUCGAUGUCGGCUCAUCGCAUCCUGGGGCUGUAUUCGGUCCCAAGGGUUUGGCUGUUCGCCAAUUAAAGCGGUACGCGAGCUGGGUUCAGAACGUCGUGAGACAGUUCGGUCCCUAUCUGUCGUGGGCGCAGGAUAUUUGAUGGGAGCUGUUCCUAGUACGAGAGGACCGGAGCGGACGUACCUCUGGCGCACCAGUUGUUCUGCCAAGGGCAUAGCUGGGCAACUAUGUACGGAUCGGAUAAACGCUGAAAGCAUCUAAGCGUGAAGCCGACCCAAAGAUAAGAUAUCCCAUUGUUUCAAACAAGUAAGACCCCUUGAAGACUACAAGGUUGAUAGGCACGAUGUGUAAGUGGAGUGAUCCAUUCAGCAAGCGUGUACUAAUAGGUCGAGGGCUUGAUC
rnacentral:rRNA from 1 species